ensembl:ncRNA lncRNA:CR44615 long non-coding RNA:CR44615
AGACACGACAAAUUUUCAUCGCAUUUAUAUCCGAAAUUAAAAAAUUAUGCCUGGCGCCAGACCAAAGAACCCAUCCCAAAAAAGAUUUCGAAUCUCAUGAAUGGCGUGUCAAUUUGGUAAUUGGAAACUAAAAUCGAGGAGUUGCCAAAAAAGCUAUAGAGACCCGCUUAGAUUGUCCACAAAUGGCACGUUCCAUCUUGGAGUUUGUCGCAAAAUAAAGACAGAUAGCGAUUUAGCGAUUCGCCAAUGAUUUGCAUAAUUGCGUGAUUCGCAUACCGUAAAAUUUACAUGUGUGCCAGUAUGUGAAACUCACUGUGAAUCAUCUUUAUGAAGGCAAGAUGGAAUCCCAGACAACUCUUAGACCCGAUGAGUCCACCGCUAUUCCCAACUUAUGGUAAUUCAAUGAUACAAUGAGUCAAGUGCUGGUCGCUUUCGCCUCCAUUGUCAAGUGUUCGAUUAUUUCAUUCGG